GACGAACGCUGGCGGCGUGCUUAACACAUGCAAGUCGAACGGUAAGGCCCUUCGGGGUACACGAGUGGCGAACGGGUGAGUAACACGUGGGUGAUCUGCCCUGCACUUCGGGAUAAGCCUGGGAAACUGGGUCUAAUACCGGAUAGGACUCCUGGCUUCAUGGUUGGGGGUGUAAAGCUUUUGCGGUGUGGGAUGGGCCCGCGGCCUAUCAGCUUGUUGGUGGGGUAAUGGCCUACCAAGGCGACGACGGGUAGCCGGCCUGAGAGGGUGACCGGCCACACUGGGACUGAGAUACGGCCCAGACUCCUACGGGAGGCAGCAGUGGGGAAUAUUGCACAAUGGGCGCAAGCCUGAUGCAGCGACGCCGCGUGAGGGAUGACGGCCUCGGUUGUAAACCUCUUUCUAAUAGGGACGAAGCGCAAGUGACGGUACCUAUAGAAGAAGGACCGGCCAACUACGUGCCAGCAGCCGCGGUAAU
rnacentral:rRNA from 1 species